rnacentral:lncRNA from 1 species
GUCUAACAAAAGCUGGAAAUUCUUUCUCGAGUUUCUUCUUAUGUGUCUUAUAUUUUACAUUUUAAAGUUCUGAAAGAAGAGCACACGAUAACUUUGCAUUUAAUUGAAGUGUGCAUUAUGCCCAGUGGUGCUCACCUUUGAGCCAUGUUGCUGAUCUGCUUAGGUGAUAGCACAUCCAACAUUAUUUUUCCAUGCUUUUCCUUUCUCUAGGGAAGAGAGCAAGUAGCACCAUGGAAUUUUACUGUUUUGGUAUUUAUUAUGCUCUCAAAUCAUUGCAGCCUUGUAUAAGCAAGUGUGUGACUUUUUCCUCCAGGGAGGUCACUCAGAGGCAAUGGCAAAGGGAGGCUCUGGGGCCCAGCAUACUUCCUGCCUGGCUGCCUGAGUUCAUCCCCUCAGCGUCCUCUGCUGUGCUGUGUUAGCAGUUUGAUAAAAUCGCCACCCUACAGAUCUCCCCAACCCUGUCCUUGCAUUCCUCAACACCAUCCUUUCAGAGCUGCCGGAGUGGCCUGCACAGAGGGGACCAUGACAGUGACGGCUUAGAAAGUUUCUGUGGCCUCCCUCCACUUGUCAAGAAAGACAAGCCCCUCAAAAGGCCUGCCUGGGCUUCACUCAGGCUUCUUGUCUUCCCUUUGCCCCAGGAUCCUGUCGGGGCUCACACUCAGCAAAGCUGGAGACGUGUCUCCCCAUAAAUACCAAGCAGAAGCUAGAGGCCUGUGUGCAAGAUGUGAGUUUACCCAACUCCGAUCCAACAGCUGGUCACAAGCUAGCGAGAAGAGGAAAAGAAAGCAGAUCUAUGCCAAUUCAAGCCUUAAUUUCUCAGCUCUCUUAGAAAUCAUAUUUAUUUCCUGGUUUCCAGAAGCUGGGAGUCACUAUGUCAGUGGAGUCAUUUACUUACCUAUCCAAGCCCUGGAGGAGAAGCCUGAGGCUGGGCAAGCUGCUGGCAGUGUGGCUGCAGCUCAUCAGACAAGCCACCAGGUGCCAUUCAAACAGAGUUGGGGUGGCUGAGGAUGGAGGUCUUUAUGUGUCAGAUUUACUAUAAAUGUAAAAAAAACCCACUAAUGUAAAGUAUUAACUUAUUAGACGUUCCAAAAAUAUGUAUGCUAAGCAUCAGAUUUUUUUGUGUGUGGAAUGACUAUUGGAGUUCCAGGUUUUCACAGUGGUUGGCGCAAUAUUCAUUCUGGGAAGACAAGCUGCUAGCCCUGUUCUGCCUUUCUGUGCUUUUUCUUGGGAUUUAGACAUCCAUUCACUUUUCAAAAUAAUAACACAUUUAUAGAGCACACGCUGAAAGUGAUGUACCAUAUUAAGAUAUUUCCAAAUAGUUUUCUUGAGGGUUUAGGGUGUUAUGUGAUGAAUAAUAAAUGGAGAAAAGGAAUUUUGACAUUAUGCUACAGUGACAGAAAACCAAGCUGCCUGGGUUAAGUUAGAUCAUCACUGGAGAGGCUUU